AGUCAUCCCCUCCAUUACUGCAGAAGGAGAAACUGAAACCCUUGCCAGGAAGCAUAGAAGCAGGGAUCAUGUCUUUCGCAGCAGCAUUGUUCCUUCCCUCGGAUUCUGCUAACGUCCCAGCUUUGGUCUAGGGCUCUAUUUGUGGAGGGUGGAUGGACUCCCACACCAGCUAUUCCAUGAAUCCACCCAAAAGGUCACAUUUAGCCCCUGUGUCUGGACUGCACAGUCAUUUUCAUUAACACAGCACCAGCUCUGGAUCUGGAUUUCUGUAACCACAUAUCUAGCAGCAGCAGCCAGUGCACACCUUUAUCAUAGCAAAAAGGGUUAUGGAAAUUCUAUGUGGCAAGACAGGCAAGUGAAAAAUCACUGUUCCCAUUUUCUCCUGUGAGACAACACCAGACAAAGGUCUUCUAGGACUGUUUUGCUCUACCGUCUGUAUUCAGAAGAAUACUGAAACUGCAGCUAGGUUUUGGUUCCCCUGGCUAUCAAAAAGAAAGAGAAAAUGUAACUGAUUCAGAAAUAGAGCUCUUCAAAAAGUUUUUGAUGGAAAAAAGUGUCCUUGAAACUGAAAUGUUUUGCAGAAUUCAUCCUGUGUAAAACAAAACAAAUAAAAAAAUGUUGGGAAGGUA